ensembl:lncRNA
CUCUCCCAGACAAAUAAGGAUUUUUCACACUCUGCUGCUCUGUGUUUCACGGAAACCUGGCUGAAUGACGCCAUUCCGGACAGCGCGCUACAACUGCCGGGCUUUCAGCUGUUUAGAGCAGACCGCGAUGCAGAAUCAACGGGGAAAUCACGCGGCGGCGGGACAUGCUUUUACAUCAACGAAAGGUGGUGUACAGAUGUUACAGCGUUAAAGAAGAUGUGCUGUUCCGAUCUAGAAGCGCUUUUCAUUAACUGUAAGCCGUUCUAUUCGCCGCGGGAGUUUCACUCGUUCAUUCUCGUGAGUAUUUACAUCCCUCCGCAAGCACACGUGAGCUCAGCUUUACAGAAACUCGCUGAUCUGAUCACAGAGACAGAGCAACAACACCCGGACUCUGUUUUAAUCAUUCUCGGGGACUUUAAUAAAGCAAAUCUUUCCCGUGAACUGCCAAAAUACAGACAGCAUAUUACAUGUCCCACCAGAGACAGUAGUAUACUGGACCAUUGUUACUCCACAAUAAAGGAUGCAUAUCGCUCGGUCCCCAGAGCAGCUGUAGGACUCUCUGACCACUGCCUGGUUCAUCUUAUACCGACCUACAGGCAUAAACUUAAAUCUGCUAAACCUGUAGUAAAGUCUGUAAAGAGGUGGACCAACGAAACAGAGCAGGCAUUGCAAGCCUGUUUCGACUGCACUGAUUGGAGUGUUUUUGAAGCAGCCACCAACGAUCUGGACGAGCUCACAGAAUCUGUAACAUCAUAUAUCAGUUUCUGUGAAGACAUGUGCAUCCCUACCAGGACUCAUUUAACAUUCAACAAUGAUAAGCCAUGGUUUACAGCAAAACUUCGUCAUCUUCGUCAGGCCAAAGAGGACGCCUACAAAAGGGGGGACAGAGUCUUGUACAAUCAGGCCAGAAACACACUGAAUAAGGAGAUUAGAGUGGCCAAGAGGAACUACGCUAAAAAACUAGAACACCAGUUUUCUGCGAAUGAGCCUGCAUCAGUGUGGAAAGGCCUGAAGGACAUCACCAACUACAAGACACCAUCCCCCAGCACUGAGGCCAAUCAACAACUUGCUGAAGACCUGAAUGGGUUUUACUGUAGAUUUGAAACUCCCAGUCUAACACCCCACACCCGCUCUGAACAUCUCUCCACACAACCAUCAACACCUCCUGCAACCCCCCUCUCCCCCACUCCUACGUUUCAGAUCAGUGAGGAUGAUGUGCGCCAGGUCUUCAGGAAGAACAAGAGAAGAAAAGCACCAGGCCCAGACGGUGUGACACCAGCCUGUCUGAAAACCUGCGCUGACCAACUGUCCCC